rnacentral:rRNA from 1 species
AUGGCUGACGGCGAGCUGGGGGGCAAGAUGGAUGGCGGCGACAGGGAGAAGGUGAGGGAGGCGGCGAGGGAGGCCGGCGAGUGGCUCGAGGUCAACCCGGACGCCGACCAGGACGACUACAUGGAAAAGCUCAAGGAGCUAGAGGAUGUUUGUAGCCCCGCCUUCGCCGCCGCGUACGGGAACACUGGCGGUGGCCAUGACGCCGCCACCGAGGAGGACGAUGACCACAACGAGCUCUAA